GAAAGAUGGCUUUGGCUAUCACUCUGGGAUGGACCUGCGGUGCAUUAGCUAGUUGGUAAGGUAACGGCUUACCAAGGCGAUGAUGCAUAGCCGAGUUGAGAGACUGAUCGGCCACAAUGGAACUGAGACACGGUCCAUACUCCUACGGGAGGCAGCAGUAGGGAAUCUUCCACAAUGGGCGCAAGCCUGAUGGAGCAACACCGCGUGAGUGAAGAAGGGUUUCGGCUCGUAAAGCUCUGUUGUUGGAGAAGAACGUGCGUGAGAGUAACUGUUCACGCAGUGACGGUAUCCAACCAGAAAGUCACGGCUAACUACGUGCCAGCAGCCGCGGUAAUACGUAGGUGGCAAGCGUUAUCCGGAUUUAUUGGGCGUAAAGCGAGCGCAGGCGGUUGCUUAGGUCUGAUGUGAAAGCCUUCGGCUUAACCGAAGAAGUGCAUCGGAAACCGGGCGACUUGAGUGCAGAAGAGGACAGUGGAACUCCAUGUGUAGCGGUGGAAUGCGUAGAUAUAUGGAAGAACACCAGUGGCGAAGGCGGCUGUCUGGUCUGCAACUGACGCUGAGGCUCGAAAGCAUGGGUAGCGAACAGGAUUAGAUACCCUGGUAGUCCAUGCCGUAAA
rnacentral:rRNA from 1 species